rnacentral:lncRNA from 1 species
UCUUCUUCAUUAGGAUGAAAUCAGCAAGGGGGGAAGCCAUAGUUAGGGUUUUCAAGCUUCCAAGCUCCAUAGUAAGUGAUCCUAAGCCCCGUUUUUAAUGUUCUUUACGUUUUUGAGAUCCCGAUAGCUUAAUUUAACUUAUUUUAGCAAUAAUUUAACCUAGGGUUUUUAUUUGGAAAAAUACCCAUAUGUGAAAAGUGUUUAUUUUGAUGCUUUAUGAUAGAAUAUGAAGCUAUAAAUUAUGUUAAACAAUUUUUGCUAAGCGAUUUUAAGCGAACACGAGUAAGUAGACAUAAUCGAUAAAAAUAUCUAAUGUUCAUAAGUACAUGUUAGAGUGAGAAUUUGAUGUUGGCAUAGAAGAGAAAAAUGUUCAGCAUGUCAUAAAACAUAAGAAUAUGAGAUGAAGUUUAAUUUCUGGGUCUUGGGGCAAAAAUGUAAUUAUGCAAAAGUUUAGGGGAAAAAUAAUAGUUUUGAAAAAGUUAGAGUCGAGGGCUGUUUUGAUGAAUGUGAGUAUUAAAUAAGUUAAAUUUUCUAUUUUAGAUCAAGAAGAAGGAAAUUCGAGGUUAGACAAAGGAAAGAAUAAAGUUGAGGACUAAGUUGGUGAAUUGGGCUAUAUUUGGUACCGAGGUAAGUUUACGGUAAAUAAAUACAAUAUUUCAAUAAUUAUUAUUAAUAUUGUUAUUUUCCAGCAAUUAUGCAUUUAUUUUAUGAAUUUAUUUAAUGUUGAUCCAAGCAUGAAAUGAUAAAGAAUUAAAAUUAAAAAGUCACGUUGAUACAUAAGGAUGGUACUGGAUACGAAUGUCAUGACAUUUGGGUAAAUAGGUCCCAUGUAAGACCAUGUCUGGGACACGGCAUUGGCACCGAGAUGAGAGGUCCCAUGUAAGACCAUGUCUGGGACAUGGCGUUGGCACCGAGAUGAGAGGUCCCCCGUAAGACCAUGUCUGGGACAUGGCAUGGGCACCGAUAUGAGAACAUCCCAUGUAAGACCAUGUCUAGGACAUGGCUUUGGCAUGUUAUGAUCAAAAGAUACCCGAGUAUCCUUAUUAUUCUAAUGUGGUUCAACGGGCUAGUAAACGAAUCAGGUACAUGAAAGUUCAGUUAAAGAUAAGAAAUGGCCAACUCAGGUGAGUUAUAAGAGUUAAGAAUUUAUUAUAUUAACAAUUUAUAUUCAACGAUGCAGCAAGAGAAGAGUAAGUUAUGACCACAAGUAUAUUAAGUAAACAAGCAAGAGAGCUAGUAUGAGAUUAACUAAAGAGUAAACUAGAGAUAUAGACAUUUGAGUUUAAUUAUUUGAGUUAAAUAUUGCUAUUUAUUUGCUAGUAAACUUACUAAGCUUUAUGCUUACGUCUUUUAUUUCUCUUUCUCUUAUAGUAUUGCAAGGCUACUUCAAGGAUCCUAAAAAAGUCGGAGAUCGUCCACACUAUCAAGAACAACUACUCGGUAUUUUAUGAUGAAACAUGUUUGAGUUAUGGCAUGUAUAGGGAUUUAGUUAUUUUGUAUGUUUGUAAUUAUGAUUUUGCUAUAGAAUGAUGUGUAAGUAUUUGAUGAUGAAUGGUUGUUUAAAUGGUCAAGUAUGAAGAUGUUUGUUGUUAUAAAAGUCUAGGUGAUAAAUUAUGUAUGAAAAUCAUGAAAGGGUA